GAUGAACGCUGACAGCAUGCUUAACACAUGCAAGUCAUUGGCGAAGCUGCGCUUGCGCAGUCUAGCCAAGGCGGACGGGUGAGUAACGCGUAAGGAACUUGCCCUGCAGACAUGGAUAACAGACGGAAACGACUGAUAACACCUGGUAUUGUCAGGCUGGCGCAUGCCGGCCUGAUGAAAGGAGACGCUGCAGGAGAGCCUUGCGUCCUAUUAGCUAGUUGGUGGGGUAACGGCCCACCAAGGCGAUGAUAGGUAGCCGGCCUGAGAGGGUGAACGGCCACAAGGGGACUGAGAUACGGCACUUACUCCUACGGGAGGCAGCAGUGGGGAAUAUUGGAAAAUGGGGGCAACCCUGAUACAGAAAUUCUGUGUGCACGAAGAAGGUUUUCGGAUUGUAAAGUGCUUUCAGCAGGGAAGAAGAAAGUGACGGUACCUGCAGAAGAAGCGACGGCUAAAUACGUG
rnacentral:rRNA from 1 species